AUACGUAGGUGGCAAGCGUUGUCCGGAAUUAUUGGGCGUAAAGCGCGCGCAGGUGGUUCCUUAAGUCUGAUGUGAAAGCCCCCGGCUCAACCGGGGAGGGUCAUUGGAAACUGGGGAACUUGAGUGCAGAAGAGGAUAGUGGAAUUCCAAGUGUAGCGGUGAAAUGCGUAGAGAUUUGGAGGAACACCAGUGGCGAAGGCGACUGUCUGGUCUGUAACGGACACUGAGGCGCGAAAGCGUGGGGAGCAAACAGGAUUAGAUACCCUGGUAGUCCACGCCGUAAACGAUGAGUGCUAAGUGUUGGGGGGUUUCCGCCCCUCAGUGCUGCAGCUAACGCAUUAAGCACUCCGCCUGGGGAGUACGGUCGCAAGACUGAAACUCAAAGGAAUUGACGGGG
rnacentral:rRNA from 1 species